CUGGCUCAGGAUGAACGCUAGCGGCAGGCUUAACACAUGCAAGUCGAGGGGCAUCGGGAGUGGCAAUACUUGCCGGCGACCGGCGCAAGGGUGCGUAACGCGUGAGCAACAUGCCCGUAUCAGGGGGAUAAUCCAUGGAAACGUGGUCUAAUACCCCAUAGUAAUUAUGUAAGGCAUCUUAUAUAAUUUAAAGCUUUGGUGGAUACGGAUUGGCUCGCGUGACAUUAGCUGGAUGGUAAGGUAACGGCUUACCAUGGCUACGAUGUCUAGGGGUUCUGAGAGGAAGGUCCCCCACACUGGAACUGAGACACGGUCCAGACUCCUACGGGAGGCAGCAGUGAGGAAUAUUGGACAAUGGAUGGAAAUCUGAUCCAGCCAUGCCGCGUGCAGGAAGAACCGGCCCUAUGGGUUGUAAACUGCUUUUGUAUGGGAGCAAUAAGGGCUACGUGUAGUCCGAUGAGAGUACCAUACGAAUAAGCACCGGCUAACUCCGUGCCAGCAGCUGC
rnacentral:rRNA from 1 species